CAGUUUGUUUAUCCAUUCACCAAGGACAUCUUGAUUGGUCCCAAUUUUUGGCGAUUAUGAAUAAAACCGCUUUGAACAUUCACAUGCAGAAUUUUGUAUGGACAUAAAUUUUCAAAGCAGUUGGCUAAAUUCCUAGGAGCAUGAUUUCUGGCUCAUAUAGUAAGGCUGUGUUUAGUUUUGUGUGAAACUGCCAAACCAUCCUCCAAAGUGAUGGUACCAUUUUGUAUACCCAUCAACAAUAAAUGAGAGCUCCUAUUGUUCGUCAUCCUCACCAGCAAAUGGCAUUGUCAGUUGUUUUGGAUUUUAGCCAUUUUAAUAGGUAUGUGGUGGUAUCUCACUGUCAUUUUGAUUUGCAUUUCCCUAAUGACAAAUGAUGUUGUGCAUCUCUUAAUAUGCUUACUUAUUAUAUACAUAUCUUUUUUUGUGUGAGGUGUUGUAUCUAUCCAGGAGAAAUAAAAGCAGGGGUCUCUGGGUGGCUCAGCUGGCCAAGUAAGCAUCCAACUCUUGAUUUCGGCUCAGGUCAGGAUCUCACUUUUUGUGGGAUAGAGCCCUGCCUCUGGCUCUACACUGACAGCAGGGAGCCUGCUUGGGGUUCUUUCUCUCUCUGCCCCUCCCCUUUCUGUGUUCACACUUCUGUGCUCUCUCUCUCUCUCUCAAAAUAAAUAAAUAAACAUUAAAAAAAGCAUUUGUCCACCGGAAGACCUGUUACAUGAAUGUUCAUAGCAGCUUUAUUUGUAAUAGCCCCAAAUUGAAAACAAAUGAAAUGUUCAUCAUAGGUGAAUGGGGAAACCAAUUACACCAUGGAAUACUAUUCUCCAAAAAAAAAAAAAAAAAAAAAAAAAAAAAAAAAAGGAAGAAACUACAGAUACACCCAACAAGGUGGAUGAAUCUCAAAAUAAUUAUGCUGAGUGACAAAAGCCAUAUUAAAUAAAGAAUGCAUGUUGUUUGAUCUCAUCUAAAUAAAAUUCUUGAAAAUUCACACUAAUCUGUCCUGAGUAAAAGCACUGAGAAGGGGAGGGAAGAAGGAAAAAAGAAGGAUGGGGGAGACACAAGGAAACUUUUAGGAGUCACGAACAUGUAUAUAAUCUUGAUUUUAAUGAUGGUUUCCAUUUAGUGGGUACAUAUGUCAAAACUGAUCAAAUAGUAUACUUUAAAUAUAUGCAGUUUACUGUAUGUCGAUUGUACCUCAGUAGAGCUACAAAAAAAUUCUUUGCACCUUGGACUAUUCUUUAAUUCAUGACUGCAAAAAUGUAAUUAAAAACAUAUAUUAAAUUUUAAUUAAAAUCUUCUUCAUCAAAAUAAGGGAAAAUUUAAAUGUAAAUAUUAAUAUUUAUAACAAAUAUUGAUAGAAAAAGAAGGAUCACUGCUUUAGACUUUUUAAAGCUGAACAUUUUAUUGUUGGAAGCCUUGAUCUAAAAUACAAAUAAAAGAGAGAGAACAUAAAAUUGUAUGGGAAGAAAUUGGAAAUCAAAUACUACAAAUGUUUUGGAAGCUCUGUGAGAUACCAUAGGCUACAACAAGCUUCUGGAUAUUGCAGAGCCUUACAUGUACUUCAGGAAGGUGAUAAAAUAAUAGUAGAUGUGUUUCUACAGCAAAGAGGGUUUUGUGCCAGGACUGAACACUGAAAAAAAAAGCCUAUGACUUAAGAAACACUGGUGUUACAUAUUUUUAAAGGUUAGAGCACAAAAUUUACUACAGGUCUUUUUCAUCCAAAUUAAGUUCUUUUAUCUUCCUUUUUGCUAGAUCCAUUUGGCCCCUGGUAAUAGAAGCCAAAACACACAAACUUCUCAGACUAUCUAGCAAAACUCUAUUUCAAAUUAAUUUUUGUAAGCAGUAUAAGAUAGAGCUUGGAUUAUUUGCCGCUGUAUGUCUUGCCUCCCUGAACUGUCAUUCUUUGUUUACAUAAAAUUUAAACUUGCCUUUGUACUUAGGAUAAAAUCUAAACUCUUUGACAAUAUCAUUAAGACUUUAUAAGAUCUGGGGCACUUGGGUGGCUCAGUUGGAUAAGCAUCCAGCUCUUGAUAUCGACUCAAGUCAUGAUCUCUUGGUCAUGAGAUCAAGCCCUGCAUCAGGCUCCAUGCUGAACAUGGAGCCUGCUUGGGAUUCUCUCUCUCUCUCUCUCUCUCUCUCUCUCUCUCUCUCUCUCUCUCUCUCUCUCUCCCUCUCUCCUUCCCUCCCCUCCUUUUCCCUCUCCACCCCCCUGCUUGCACACACACACACACACACACACUCUCUCUCUCUCUCUCUCUCUCUAAAUAAAUAAACUUAAAAAAAUACUCUUGUUUUAAAAAAAGGAAAAAAAAAAAGAUUUUAUAAGAUCUGCAGCCAAGCCCACUUCUCCAACUUCAUCUUAGAGUUGUCUGUCCCCAUAGAAAACUAAGUUCAAGGCAUAUUGUCUUCCUCUUUGUUCUUGAAAAUUGAAAACUGUUCUUUGCUGCCAGGAAUGCACGUGUGGUUCUUUGAAUGACAUCUUCUUGUCCUUUCAGUCUGAACUUUAUGAUGACGUGUUGCCUUUGUUAAGUAAGCUCCACAAAGAUCUGGAGACGUAGCUGAAGUGUGAAGAAAGGGGCACCAAGGGAACUUAGGCUCCAUUUCUCCUAGCAUAUCUUCUUAGACUGGUGCCUUUUCUAAGCGUAGUGUGCACAGGCUGCACCUGCGAGCAGACUGUGAAACAUAAGGUCAGAAGAUGUUGGUUUUUUUCAAUAUUCUCACCCCAUCCACAACUGUAAAAUGAGGCCAAUAAUGUUUUCCUGUUUGAAUUGCAGGGUUAGUGUUUCAGAGAGCAUAUGCAAGAUUGCUUUGAAAGCUUUAAAUAGACACAGAUGUUAAUAAAUUCAGGUUUAUGUGGUCUCCACACUAGUGGUGCCUUCCCGUGUGAAUUCUGCCAAGGACAAAGCAGUCAGCUCAAUGUGCUUUGAGAAGAAGCCCUCGGUAGGCAUUUCGUUGCCUGUUCUGGGACCUCAACAGAUUCUGCACUCCACUACUGCUCCUGUAACAAUCCUCAGACACCAUUUUAUUUUUUCAAUCAAUACAGCAAAAAAAAAUAUUUUAAGUGGGAACCUUUUCUCCUUUCCUCCUCCAUUCUCUUUCUCCCUUACCUUUCUGCUCUCCCUCUGUCCCUCCCAUCUUCCCUUCCUUCUCAUCUUUGUCAAUUGAAGAAGGAAUCUGGUCAAACUGAAAAGUUCUAUAUGAACAAAUGAAUUUCAAGCUCAGUAAAAUACGUGGCAGAAGGUGCUGGUGUAAUCAAAUGACAAAGCAGAGUUGCUAAGACCCCACAAAAUCUGUCUCAACUACUUGUAGUUUUCUUUGCUUUAUCCAGUUUUAAAUCCUGUGAUCUCAGAUAAAAGUAUAUAAAAUAAUUCAUUGUUGGGAAUUUAAAUUUCUAAUUAGAUCCAUAUCAAAAUUAUUUCCCCACUUCUUAAUUGUAACUCAUUCUUAGUGAGGGACAAAGACCAUACUGUCUCCUGAGCCAUGCUUACAAUCAGUCAGUGAGGCAAUUGGUAAAACCACUGUUUCUGUCUACAGUUCUCUUUAAUUUCAGUUCCCAUCCUUAUCUCAACUGAUUCCAAGUUAUUUUUAUUAUUAUUUUUAAAAGUACUGUUACUCAAAUUUUUUCCUUUAUUUUUUCCUUUUGCAUGAUGAUAUGACUUUCUUCAUUUGAAUCUUGUGAUGCUAAUCCCAGCAAACUCCCAAGGACAGGGUCACACAGUCUGGGUCCCCUGGCACUCUUCCCCUUCAGUCUAUGGAAACUCUCUUGGUUGAAAGCUCUCUGUCCUGUCUUUACCAUUCUGGGCACACAAGAGAAAUGCUUGGCUACUUUCCAUAUCAUGCUGGGUAAAGAUUCUGCACCCAAUUCCAGUGUGUGAGGGGAGUGUUCCCCACACCAACAUGCAAUUCUAGGACACUAGCUGCCCCUCCCCCACAACUUCUCAUGUGGGAUUCUGACUCAUCAGCUAGAGAUUGGAAGUUCCUACAACCCCCUCCUUGGGUUUGAUUAAUUUGCUGAGGCAGCUCACGGAACUCAGGAAACCAGUUUACUCCCCAGAUCACUGUUUAUUAUGAAAGGAUGUGACUCCGGAACAGCCAGAUGGAAGAGAUGUGUACAGGGCAUGGUAUGGGGAAAGGUCACCGAGUUUCCAUGUUCCCUCUGAGGGCACUAUUCUUCCUAAAUUGCCAUGUGUUCACCAACCUGGAACUUCUUUGAACCCUGUCUUUUUGGGGUUUUUUUGAUGGAGGCUUCAUUCCAUAGGCACGAUCAAUUAAAUCAUUGGCCAUUGGUGGUUGAUUCCAACCUCUAGCCCCUCCCCCCUCCCCAGAAAUUGGUCCCACCCCUCUCUUUAUGGUUGGUUCCCCUGGCAGCCAGCCUCCAUUUUUGGGUGCUUUCCAAGUCACUUUGUUAACAUAAACCCAGUUAUGGUGGAAAGGGGCUUGUUAUGAGUAACAAGACACCCAUUUCACAUUUAUGACUCUGAAGUAAUUUCAGGAACUGAGGACAAGAGACCAAAUAUUACAACAGAAGAUACUCCCAUUGCUCUUACUGCUCAGGAAAUUCCAAGGCUUUUAGGAGCUCUGUGCCAGGAAUCAGGACAAAGACUAAAAUUAUAUUUCUUGUUACAAAUCACAACAUUACGCUGGGGCUCAGGGUUUGUGAGAGGCAUGUUUUGACCCGUCUUCUUUGGCUUGCCAUGCAACUAUCUUUAGUUUCCCAGUUGUGGGGGUUUGGGGGGAACACUGGCUCCUUCCAAAGGCAAGCAGGUUGGAAUCAGGGUAUAGGUCCACCUGAAUCAGGACUCUUAUUUUUGCAGACUUGGCUGAAAGGCUGGGCAACCCAUUCCAACUGCCUUCUCUGUUCCUCCCAGACUCUGUCUUCCCACCCAAGCUUUGUCUCAUUGGAAGCUGGAAAUGCAAGUGGGAAAAAUGAAUUCUGCUCAAUCACAUACUAUUUCAAAUCUAUUUUUCUUACAUUUUGUGUUAUAGACCAUCACUAGGCUCCAAUAUCCAUUGUCUUCUUAUAUAAUAUGGAAUUUUGGAAAAUGUGUCCAGCCUCCCCUGAAGCUACUUGCAGCCAUGUGAGUAAAUUUUGGCUCACGAGGGAGAAGUGAAAGUAUUAUUUUGGACUUUUGAGAAGCUCCCUUAAGAUGUGUCUUCAUUCAUAUCCUCCUUCCUGUUGCUUAAAACGCAAACCUUGGAGAGGCUCUCUUGGACCAUGAGAUGACCUUGAAUAUAGAAGCCACACACUAAGGACGGCAGAACAGCAACUUAGGAGGUGCCUGGGUGUUUGAGGGUUUUGUGGAGCAGCUGCAUUAGUCCUAGACUAUCUACUUCUAGAUAGUUAUUUCGUGUGGGGAAAAAGCCCUGUGUGAGUAAGCCCCCAAUUUUAAGAUCUCUGUUGCGUUAGUGUACAAGGCUGCCAUAACACAAUACCAAGGAUGGGUGGCUUAAAUAACAGAAAUUUAUUUUCUCACAGUUCUGGAGGCAAGAAGUCCAAGAUCAAAGUGCCAGAAAUUCAGCUUAUGGUGAGGCCUCUCUUACUGGUUUGCAGAUGUCCAUCUUCUUUCUGUGUCCUCACAUGGGCUCUUCUCUGUACACAUGUAGAGAGAGGGAAGGGGAAAGAGGAGGAGGGGGAGGAAAGGAGGUAAUCUUUGGUGUCUCUUCCUCUUCUGAUAAAGACACCUGUUUUAUUGAAUUAGAGCCCACCCUUAUGUAACCUUCAUUUAACCUCAUAUAACCUGCAAUUACCUCCUUAUAGGCCUUAUCUCCAAAUACAGUCACAAUGAGGGCUUUAACAUAUGAAAUGGGGGGACCAGUCCAUAACACACACAGAAAAAUGAUUCCUAUCUAAUAUGCCCAGCAACCUUCACUUUUGGGGUUUAAGAUCAAAGAAAUUGGCUUAAAGUUUCUUAUAUAUAUUCUUAUUUGUUUUUUCUUAUAUACAUUCAUAUGUUUCUGACACUGGGAGCUUGAUGCCUGAAAUUUCCAAGCCACAAAUAAGAUACUUUGUCCUCUAGAUUUGCUGAGACAGCCCUGCCCUACAGACCCUCUUGCUCAUGCAUGGAUGUCUGGGCUGAGAAGUGGGUAAGAUCAGGAAAGUAUCUAGUUACAGGGAAGUAUAUGUGGAGGUGGAAUUCUGGUGAAUAUUAUCUGGACACAGUACCAUGCACUUCACCUUUUCUCAGUGGGACCUCCACCGUGGAGUCAGAAUGGCCUCUUUAAUGGUCUAAUUUGACCAAGCCACUCUUCCUUCAAAAUUAGGGUACAUUUGACCUCAUCUGUAUCUAUCCAGACAUUUUGAUUUAGGGAUAUUUUAACAUGGCCUAAAAAAGAAAUUAUUAAAGUUUCAACUUUUUUUAUUACUAAGUAGUGUAUGAAACAGAUAUCCUCACUGCAUGCCUGAAUUUUCCAACUCUAAGAUUCCGCACCCUGGAGUGGGGGUUGGGGAUGGUGUAGAGAGGGGAGGUGAGAAUGAGGGGGGAUCAUGGAUCAAAACAAAAAGACUGGGUAGAUGAAGAUGGACUGGGGUUCAGUGCCACUUGGAAACAUGGAGCCAUAGAUAGUUCCUUACUCAUUCACUUAAAUCAAUCUGGCAGAGCAUUUGCUUUGUUCUCUGAGAAUUAGAUGCUGCUGGUCAGCAGACCCCCCAUGUCCCCUCAAAUUUGUGUGUACUAGAACCUCAGAAUAUGACCUUAUUUGGGUCUUUGAAGAUGUAGUCAAGUUAAAACAAGGUCAUACAGGAACAGGUUGAGUCUUAAAAUACAAUGGUUGGUAUCCUCAUGAGGAAAGGGAGAUUUGGAUAGACAUAGAGGACACACAAGGGAGGUGGCCAUGUAAUGACAGAGGCAGAGAUGGGAGUGAUGCAGCUAUAAAUCAAGGAAUGCCAUGCACUGAUUACUGGUGGGCACCAGAAAUUAGGAAGAGGCAGGGAAGGAUUCUUCCCGAGGGCCUUCAGAGGGAGCAUAGCCCUGCUCACACCCUGAUCUUGAGACAUCGGUUUUUCAGAACCGUGAGAGAAUACAUUUCUAUCAUUUUAAGCCAUCCAGAUUGUGGUCGUUUGCUACGACAGCUCUGGGAAGCCACUAUAGGCACUUUUUCUUUUAAACUCUAGAGAACAAACACAUCUGCCUUUUAAAAUUGUAAUUGUGCUAAUCUUAUUUGAUUGGGAAUAUAUUAGGCAUUAGUCUAAUCCAUCUGAAACCAUCUAAUAAUAGUUUUGAAAGGUCUUGGAGACAAAUUGAAGUCUAAUUAUAUUGUUAUGUAAUUUAUGAAUUGUGGAGGUAAUACAGGCUCAUAAAAAUUCAAGGAAAUCAAGGGCGCCUAGGUGGCUCAGUGGGUUAAGCAUCCAAUUCUUGAUUUUGGCUCAGGUCAUGAUGUCAUGGUUUUGUGAGUUUGAGCCCUGUGAGCUGACUGCACACAAGCUGCUUAUGAUUCUGUCUGUCUGUCUGUCUGUCUCUCUGUCCCUCCCCCACUCAUUCUCUCUCUGUGUCUCUCAAAAUAAAUAAAAUUUUAAAAAUAUUUUAGGGGAAAAACUGAGAGCUUUCCCCCUAAGGUCAGAAACAAGACAGGGAUGUCCACUCUAGCCACUGUUAUUCAACAUAGUAUUGGAAGUCUUAACCUCUGCAAUCAGACAACACAAAGAAAUAAAAGGCAUCCAAAGCAGCCAGGAGGAGGUCAAACUUACACUCUUCGCAGAUGACAUGAUACUCUAUAUGGAAAACCCCAAAGAUUCCACCAAAAGACUGCUAGAACUGAUCCAUGAAUUCAGCAAAGUUGCAGGAUAUAAAAUCAAUGCACAGAAAUCAGUUGCAUUCCUAUACACCAACAAUGAAGUGACAGAAAGAAAUCAAGGAAUCUAUCCCAUUUACAGUUGCACCAAAACCAUAAAAUACCUAGGAAUAAAUCUAACCAAAGAGGUGACAAAUGUAUACACUGAAAACUAUAGAAAGCUUAUGAAAGAAAUUGAAGAAGACACAAAGAAAUG